UGAGCUGCACACCGCUGUCGUUGACAGCACCCAGGCAGCCAGAACCUUCAAGGCUGCGCCCGUUUCGGGUGGCUCUCCCCAAGUGCGACUCGCGCUCGGCAGCUCGCACGGUCACCGACCUGUCGGUGAUGAGCGC
rnacentral:ncRNA from 1 species